rnacentral:rRNA from 1 species
UACGAAGGGGGCUAGCGUUGCUCGGAAUUACUGGGCGUAAAGGGCGCGUAGGCGGGUAGUUUAGUCAGAGGUGAAAGCCCGGGGCUCAACCUUGGAAUUGCCUUUGAUACUGGCUAUCUUGAGUUCGGGAGAGGUGAGUGGAAUGCCGAGUGUAGAGGUGAAAUUCGUAGAUAUUCGGCGGAACACCAGUGGCGAAGGCGACUCACUGGCCCGAUACUGACGCUGAGGCGCGAAAGCGUGGGGAGCAAACAGG